AUCAUCAAGUGAUGAAGUUUGGAUGAAUCUUAGGACACCUUCCUACACAGUUUCAAAAGCUGUGGAUGAGAAAUAAUAUCCAUUCUGAUGAUGAU